UCUACUACCUCCCCUGAUCCCCUCACUCUCUCCACCCCCAGACUCCCAGUCCACUCACGAUGGCAGAUCUCGGCGAGUCACCCACCCCACCGCCUCCGCUCUCGCCCCCACAGCCGGCGACCUCGUCUCGCACCGCCACCCCAUCUCAUCCCCUCCCCAACUCCCCUCCACUCAUCCGACGGCGGCUAGAGAUGCACACAACCGGCGACCAACAUCACACAAAGGUCGCCACCGCCGGCGGUGGAAGGACAGUCUUCUCCCGCCGCUAGCCGCAGCCUCCGCCUCGCCCUGAUCCUCGGCCUCCUCGACCGCCGCUCGCUCUCCUGGGAAGCACCUCGCCGCCUCCCUGCCCAUGCCGUCUUCGCCGACUGCCCUGCUCGCGCCGACCUCGCGAAUCUCGCGGCCGCGCUUGGCAGUGCUCGACUUGUCCUCGCCACCGCCAGCGGCGACGGGUCCUUCCCGUGCCUCUACCGCCUCGUGGCCGAGUCCUCCUCUCCCCAAAUCGACACCCGCCCCUUUGUCGAGCCUGCCGUGCCAGCGACAUGAGCAGGAUGGUGGCCGUCGAGGCUUCAGAUGCGGUCGACGCAGAUGAGAACAGUUCAUAGAGCCGUACCAGGCAGAACAAGCUGUUCCACGCAUGGGGUCUGAUUUGAAUAUUUUCGGAGAUGCAUAAUAUGCCAAACACUUCUAAAGGUGCCUCGUCCAUGGGCGCAUGAUAGUGGAAAACAUCUGUAAAUUGUGCAGGAUCCUAUAGAGCAAAUGGGCAUCAUCGACGUGCAGUACACGCUCUCUUAGGCAGAUAAGUAACCUCAGACAACUUAUUUUGUGAAGACCGGUGGUUCAUGGUCUGAAAGUUUUGUUUUUCUCUCUAAAUUUUAUACGUAGAUAAUCCCUUAAAUGCUUUUUACUGCUUGAUCACAUAAUACAUGUCCGUGCAAGAAAGGAGUUGUUAACUGAAACAAUAAUGUUAAUUUUUGUUGUUAGCUGAAACAAUAAUGUUAAUUUUUGUUAACUACAAACGGUCUUGGACAUUGGUUUUUUCAAAUUAACUCCGUGUUGAACUGGUUCUUCUUGUUGUGUGCUGCAGCCCAGCAAUCUGUUCAUGCCAAAUGAUUGAGUCCUGGUGAGGUUCAUUGCUGGACAUGCAUGGUCUCCGCAGGCAAGGAACACAUAAAAGUAAUUCAGCGUGUUAUCAGAAACUCAUGAGCAUGAAAGAGAAAUUUGGAUCAUGUUCGAACAUGGGUAGAGAGCAGAUCGAGGAGAACUUGAAGAUUAAAGGCAAUGAAAGGUCUAUACACAUUAGCAUCCGAACCAGAACAAUCAAGUUCAAAGCUCUCAUGGUUGACUGGAGAAAAUCAAAGGAGGCGUGAGUUCGGAAGUAAUACCUGGACUACCUAUGGGGAGUUCUAUGGUUGACACAGAGGGGAUUGUUGCUUCAUGUAUAAUUAGGCCGCUCAAUGGUUGUGGGUCAGCUGCAAUGGCUUGCGAAAGGAAUUGUUCAAAUUAGUAAAAAUUCAAUAUGAAAGGCAUUUAAAGAUUGUCUCAGAGUUAUACCUAGACUCCCUUUGGGUAGUUCAAUGGUUGAGGGCGAUGGGGUUGGUGCUUCGCGAAUAAACAGUCCGCUUGAUGGUUGUGGGUCAGAUCGGUUGUCUUGCGAAAGGGACUUUGCUAAUUAGUAAGAAACCUAAUUGAAGGUGAAUUACUAAAAACAAUACACAUAUUCCAUAUACCUGGACCUUCUUUGGGGAGUAUAUUAACAUUGGUGUCUUCACCAAGAGUGAGUCGGAGGCCAUUUGUCGCAUCCAUCUGUCGCUGUCGGUCUUCCUGCUGUUUCUUCUUCUGAUAAGAUUCUCGUCUCUUUGUGUUCAACUUAUCCUUUUGUUCUUGGUACCCUUGCUCUUCUUUUUUCUUCUUAUAAGUUGCUCUUCUCCGUGCGUUAAUGACAUCCCUUUCUUCCUUUGAUAAGGUCCCUUUACGUUGGCCAGCACGGCCCCUCGUAGCUCCAACUGUUGUUGUAGGUAUACACACAUUAGCAUCCGAUUUUGAAGAGUAAUAGUAUUUCUGGAUAAAAUCAUGCACCACCAGGGUUGCAAUAUAUUAAUUAUAUACCAAACCAGAUUACUCGCAACAAUCCCCUCUGAUGGAUUAAAUUUACCGCUUCAUUAUAUUUAGAAAUCUGAAGGAGGUGUGAGUUCGGAAGCUAUACCUGGACUACCUUUGUGGUGUUCUAUGGUUGACGCAGAGGGGAUUGGUGCUUCAUGUAUAAUCAGGCUGCUCGAUGGUCGUGGGUCAGAUGCAACAGCUUGCGAAAGGGAUUGUUCAAAUUAGUAAUCACCAAUAUCGAAGGCAUUUAAAUAUUGUUAAUGAGUUAUACCUGGACUCCAUUUCGGGAGUUCUAUGGUCGAGGGAGACAGGACAUCUGCUUCACGAAUAAACAAGCCGCUCGAUGGUUGUGGGCCAGCUGCAAUGGCUUGCGAAAGGGAUUGUUCAGAUUAGUAAUUUAACAAUAACCAAAUACCAAUAAAUUAUCAAUUCAAUAUACCUGGACCCUCUUUGGGGAGUCUAUCAACAUUGGUGAUAUCACCAAGAGGUUGUCGGAGCCCAGUUGUCGCCUCCAUUUGUCGCUGUCGGUGUUGCUUAGCAAUAUUCACCCUUUCCCAACGAGAACCAAACGGGGUCAAGUCGUUUGAGGACAUCACUAUCAGAGACAAUUGUCAUUGGCAAAGCAGAUCAAUAAGUACCGUAUACUAUAUUUAACGCACUUUAAUCUACAUUGAACAGAAGUAAAGUAAGUUCUUGGCAUGUUUGGUACAAUAAUGCUUCUCUUCAGUUUUUGUGCCCAAUAACCAGCAUUGUCAUCUAAUGCAUUGCUUG